GGCAUUGGGAGCACAGCGUUGAGAAGUCAUUUUAGAAAUUACCUCUUUGAGAAGACGCAGAUGCUGGAGGAAGAACAGCCAAGGCAAGAGCCCAAAGUGAGGAGCUAUGCACUGGAAGAAAAUUCUUCAGCUGUAGAACUGGCCCACUAUUUAAGUAUCCACAUUCAAGGAUAUGACCAAGCCUGCCAAUUAGUCCCUUGCCCCACCACCACCAACAAGCACCUUUCUUAUGGACUGAUCUAUCAAAGCUGUGUCUUCUGGCAUCAAAUCAUUUCAAGUACACAAGAUGGAGCUGCAAUAUUUCCUGUGGAAAGGGCACUGAGCUAGGAAUCAGCAGAUAUGAUAAUUCAAACUGUGUGACCAUAGGCAAGUUGAUCUUUUUUUUUUUUAAUUUAAGUUCUGGGAUACAUGUGCAGAAUGUGCAGGCUUGUUACAUAGGUGUACAUGUGCCGUGGUGGUUUGCUGCACCCAUCAACCCGUCAUCUACAUUAGGUAUAUCUCCUGAUGCUAUCCCUCCCCUAACCCCCCACCCCUCGACAGGCCCCCGUGUGUGAUGUUCCCCUCCCUGUGUCCAUGUGUUCUCAUUGUUCAACUCCCACUUUUGAGUGAGAACAUGCAGUGUUUGGUUUUCUGUUCCUGUGUUAGUUUGCUGAGAACGAUGGUUUCCAGCUUCAUCCAUGUCCCUGCAAAGGACCUAACUCAUCAUUUUUUAUGACUGCAUAGUAUUCCAUGGUGUAUAUGUGCCACAUUUUCUUUAUCCAGCCUAUCAUUGAUGGGCAUUUGGGUUGGUUCCAAGGCUUUGCUAUUGUGAAUAGUGCUGCAAUAAACAUACAUGUGCAUGUGUCUUCAUAGUAGAAUGAUUUAUAAUCCUUUGGGUAUAUACCCAGUAAUGAGAUUGCUGGGUCAAAUGGUAUUUCUGGUUCUAGAUCCUUGAGGAAUCACCACACUGUCUUCCACAAUGUUGAACUAAUUUACACUGCAACCAACAGUGUAAAAGCAUUACUGUUUCUCCACAUCCUCUCCAGCAUCCGUUGUUCCCUUUUUAAUGAUCACCAUUCUAACUGGUGUGAGAUGGUAUCUCAUUGUGGUUUUUAUCUGCAUUUCUCUAACGACCAGUGAUGAUGAGCUUUUGUACAUAUGUUUGUUG
rnacentral:lncRNA from 1 species